AACAAUUAACUAAAUAGAAUUACAUACAUACACGUAUUUGUGAGUUAGAAACCGUGGUCCUAAGUCUUAACCAUGAUAAUCCAAAAUAAGAAAGUAAAAAUUAAUUUUUCAAUGUGUACUAAUGAUGGUAAUUGGUAAAUUCUUAUCUAGUUAUUACUAUAGUAUAAAAGCCAAAACAAGCAAAUAAAAAAAAGGUUGAAUUAGAACUUAUCCAAUACAACUCAAUUAUAUAUAUAUCCCUUACUUCAAUCAAACACAAUCAGAUUUUAACUAUUACAAACCUAACAAACAACAAACAACUCUCUUCUUCUUCUUCUACAUCUCCUCUCUCAAUAUUCAUUUCCUUUUUCCCAAUGGCAACGAGAAAAAACUUCCUCUUUCUCGGAGGAAAAGACAGAAUUACCCCUCUCCCAUCUAGCAGCCUCCAGUUUGAAUUUGAUGAAGCUGAAACAUGGUGUAACAACACUAGUUCAAACGAAAAUGUUGUUCAUAAUUCUGAAGCCAAAAUAUCAAUACCAAAUUCAAAAUUCUUGAAAAAACCAGGGAAAAAGAGUGAAAGAUCAAGGGCAAUUUCGUCAACAUCAUUGCCAGUGAAUAUACCGAAUUGGUCGAAAAUCUUAGGUGAUGAGUACAGGAGUUGUCCGAAAGAAAUUGAUGAUAAUAAUGUUGUUGAGGAUUUUGAUUAUGAAAGUGGAAUUCCACCACAUGAAUAUUUAGCAAGAACAAGAGUUGCUUCUUUUUCAGUACAUGAAGGUAUUGGAAGAACACUUAAAGGAAGAGAUUUGAGUAGGGUAAGAAAUGCUAUUUGGAAACAAACUGGUUUUGAAGAUUAGUAAAUCUUGAUUAAUUAGCAAGAGCAACAGUAAAUUUUCUCUGUGACUUAGAUUUAAGAUGUGGUUGAUUGUCGGUAGCCUAUAUUACAUCUCUUAUGGUGCGGUCCUUUUCUAUUAAUAUGUGUGAAUACGAGAUACUUUAUUCACUGAGAUACUUUUUUGAGUUUUUUUUAUUGGAUGAAUGGGUUAAUUUUUGUAAGUUAUUAAGGGGUUGGAUUGAUCCUCUAGUUUUGAUGGUUAUCUUUUAGUUGUGACUUCAAUUCAGAGGAUCUAAUGUAAUGUAAGUUUGUGUUACCUUAUUCACAUUUCUUUCCUUAGAUUUUGCAUAAUCUUUUGGAUUUUUGAAUUGAAUAUCAAUCUAGGGAUCAGUUUGUAAUUUUAAACUUGAUGAGUUUUGGAUUUGUACUGUGGAAUCUUAUCACCUAAUUAAUUUAUUUUUUCUUUGAUUAAUAUAUAAUGUUAUUCACUUUUCUUUCUUUCAUGUAGAUAGAUACCUUUUGCUUUAUGACUUUGAUUUGCUUUUCACCAAAAGCCAUACAAAAGAAAAGGAUAUUAACAUAUAUUGCAUGUUAGAAAUGCACUUACUAAUGAUUAUUCUAUGUGCAAUUCACAAAUUUCAUAUAUAUAUUUAGUAUACCGAAAACUUUUAUUAUUUCUUUGUACCAAAUGAUAGAUAAGUAAAGG
rnacentral:lncRNA from 1 species